GAACGCAUAUUGCGCUCUUUGGUAUUCCGAAGAGCAUGCUUGUUUGAGUAUCAGUAAACACCUCAAAACUUUUUUUUAUUUUUGAAAAACAGUUUUGGACUUGAGCAAUCCCAACACCAAUCUUUUUUAGAUCGGUGGCGGGUUGCUUGAAAUGCAGGUGCAGCUGGACAUUCUCCUGAGCUAAAAGCAUAUUUAUUUAGUCCCGUCAAACGGAUUAUUACUUUUUGCUGCAGCUAACAUAAAGGGAGUUUUGACCAUUAUGGCUGACUGAUGCAGGAUUUCACAGAGAAAAGGCCGGCAACGGUUUUGUCUCUGUCAAACUCGAUCUCAAAUCAAGUAAGACUACCCGCUGAACUUAAG
rnacentral:misc_RNA from 1 species